rnacentral:lncRNA from 1 species
GGCAUUCCUCUUCACGGCUCAACAAUAUCCCCUGCAUGGAGGCGCCCCUCGUGUUAUUUGUCAUCUCCUGAUGGGCACUUGGGCUGUUCCUACCUUUUGGCCAUUGUGACUGGUGCUGCUGUGAAUGCCUGUGCACCAGAAUCUUUCCUAGUCCUUCCUCUCAGGGGGCCAGGCUUCUGCCCUCCCCUCCGUCCUGCUCCCCGUGUCAGUCUGUUUUGGUCACUGGCUGUGGCCUGGGAGACACUCCCACUUGGAUGAAGGCAGUCACCCCCGGCGGUGCUCAGGGUGGAAGGGGGCCAGCAGGGGAAUCCGGGUGGUGCCAGGAGUGCCCUGCAUCUCCCCGUUCCUCCUGCCUUCCCUGCUUUGCUACCCCCAGUACUUCUCACCUUCUGACACCCCCGGCAUGUGCUGACUUCUUGGGCUUCUUGUCUACUUCCCCCUAGAAAGCACCCAAGGCCUGGGGCUGUGCCUGUUUUGUCACGGCUGGACCCACCCUUCCUGAUACACAGUCAGGCUCAACAAAUAUGCAUGGGAUGAAUGACUAGCACGCGCGCACACACGAUCUCUUGGAAUUCUCGCCGAAACUGUGAUGUCACUGCUGCCGUCAUCCCCAUUCUACAGAGAAGGAAAUGGAGGCUCAGGAACGUUGAGUGAAUUCCCCAAGGUCACAGAGCUUGCGAGCGGCAGAGCAGAGACAGGGGUGCAGAGCUGCCCCACGCCUAGCACUUCCCAGCCGGAAGGCUUGGCCUGUCUACAUGAUGAGCUGGACACCUGUCAAACACAUGUCACUCACACUAAUUCGACUCUGCGUCUUUGGAGAGAGAGAAACUUCGAUACCCAGCCAAUGGCCAGGCCAUUGCGCUCAACUAGUGAGGGUGAGGACCUAAGUGUGCAGUUUCCACAAUUGCGUCCCUUCUCUCGUGCCCCUCUUUUUUAUAAUAAAAAAUAAUUUUAAAUCCCAGCACUUUGGGAGGUUGAGGCAAGUGAUCUUCCCACCUGUCAGCCUCCCAAAGUGCUGGGACUACAGGCUUGAGCUACCGCACCCAGCUAAUUCACGCCCCUCUUAAUGCGAGCAUCUCAACACGCUGACGGAGACCCUAGCUGCCAAAGUUACACAUUGA